GAUGAACGCUGGCGGCGUGCUUAAUACAUGCAAGUCGAGCGAGGACCACUCGGUGGCAACACCGGGUGGCUCCUGGCGGCGAACGGGUGAGUAACACGUGGGCAACCUGCCCCCGACACUGGGAUAAGCCCGGGAAACUGGGUCUAAUACCGGAUACGAGCCUCCUCCGCAUGGUGGAGGCUGGAAAGGGUCUCCGGUCGGGGAUGGGCCCGCGGCCUAUCAGCUUGUUGGUGGGGUAACGGCCCACCAAGGCGACGACGGGUAGCCGGCCUGAGAGGGUGAACGGCCACACUGGGACUGAGACACGGCCCAGACUCCUACGGGAGGCAGCAGUAGGGAAUCUUGCGCAAUGGGCGAAAGCCUGACGCAGCGACACCGCGUGCGGGACGAAGGCCCUCGGGUUGUAAACCGCUUUCAGCAGGGAUGAAGCGAAAGUGACGGUACCUGCAGAAGAAGGUCCGGCCAACUACGUGCCAGCCGCCGCUGUAAUAC
rnacentral:rRNA from 1 species